GGGAGUUUGGCCGAGCGGUCUAAGGCGCCAGGUUUAGGCCCUGGUAUCGAAAGAUGCGGGAGUUCGAAUCUCCCAGCUCUCA